CCUACGGGUGGCAGCAGUGAGGAAUAUUGGUCAAUGGACGAGAGUCUGAACCAGCCAAGUAGCGUGAAGGAUGACUGCCCUAUGGGUUGUAAACUUCUUUUAUAUGGGAAUAAAAUGUUCCACGUGUGGGAUUUUGUAUGUACCAUAUGAAUAAGGAUCGGCUAACUCCGUGCCAGCAGCCGCGGUAAUACGGAGGAUCCGAGCGUUAUCCGGAUUUAUUGGGUUUAAAGGGAGCGUAGGUGGAUUGUUAAGUCUGUUGUGAAAGUUUGCGGCGCAACCGUAAAAUUGCAGUUGAAACUGGCAGUCUUGAGUACAGUAGAGGUGGGCGGAAUUCGUGGUGUAGCGGUGAAAGGCUUAGAUAUCACGAAGAACUCCGAUUGCGAAGGCAGCUCACUGGACUGCAACUGACACUGAGGCUCGAAAGUGUGGGUAUCAAACAGGAUUAGAUACCCCUGUAGUC
rnacentral:rRNA from 1 species